rnacentral:lncRNA from 1 species
AUGCCAGGGCGACUCCCUUGUUACUCCUCAGGAAUGGUGUCCCAAACUGGAGGCUUUGUGUCAGCAAAGACCCUUCCAGUUACUUCCAAGAAUAGCGUUCCCACUGGCCGGUGGCGAAGGCCAUCUUGUCCUGGUGUUGAAUAUGGCAUAGUACCUCAAAUCCAUUCCUCGGAUGCUAAGGGCUGCGGAAAUGAGUUAGUCAUGACAACUAACCUCCAGCUGAGCAGUUUGAAACACUAUGUGCCUGGCCUGCCCAGGAGGCACGUAGUAGGCACUCAACUCAUACACACUUGAUCGAGUUGAAAAUAUCCCUUGGGAAAACACUGACUAAACCACAAGAACCCUGGCCAGUUUACUCUAGAUAGAUUUCCACAAUAUGCAAAGUGGUGGUGGUGUGGGGAGGGUGGAGACAGAAGACACCGGCACUUUAAACUCUGUGUGUGGGUAUGCGUGGUGUAUGUUUGGGAAGAAAAAAAAAAUCAAAGGUGCAGACUAUCUUCCUCUCUCUUCUUCGGCCUCCAGCCCCGGCCUCCUCCCCUCACACACUCUGGACUUGGUACAGAAUAAUCCUCCGUGUGGUCCGAGCUGAAGCACUGGGGUGGAGGAGGGAGGGGGAGUUUCGUGUUAAGUGCCUACUGGAAAUGCACUGUGGGGUUUUUUCCUGUAUGGGAAACCGUUUAUGCCAAGCUUUCCCCCAUGCCCCUAUAUUUAUCUCAUCUGGUUAGCUGCCUCUGCUUCUGGCGUUGUGUAAUUCUCUUUGCCAGCUGCAUAGGGCUGGGUUUCUUUCCCCAAAGUCUAAUGACUGAACUCACCUGGCCCUAGGUUGUCGUGUGUUUGGUUGAACUUUUCU